CAAAUUUACUUGUUGAUUGUUUACGUUUGAUGUUAUUGAUGUUUGAGAUUGAGAAAUUAUCAUAAAUCAAAUGAGGCACGAUCCUCUCACCCAUCGUCAGUCCAAGUUGAAACUGUUCGAAUUUAUGUAAAAAAAAAAGAAAACCUGGCUUAGCAAAGGGUUUCUUGAGAUAUACACCAUUGAAGCCAUUAAACAGAAUAAAAAUACCACAUAACGAGGUUGGCAGCUUCAGUAGGAGGAACAAGCCGUGCGCUAAACACUAUAAACAUUACAAACAAUGAACAAAGGCCAAGCAUAACAUUCCACAAUUCCACUGACUGAAGCCCUGACUGAACUGGGAAAAGGAUUGGAAGCUUUAGCAGAAGCUAAUAAAUGGAUUAAAGAUAAAAUAUUACUACA